UACGUAGGGGCUAGCGUUGUCCGGAAUCAUUGGGCGUAAAGCGCGCGUAGGCGGCCCGGUAAGUCCGCUGUAAAAGUCCAGGGCUCAACCCUGGAAAGCCGGUGGAUACUGUCGGGCUAGAGUCCGGAAGAGGCGAGUGGAAUUCCCGGUGUAGUGGUGAAAUGCGUAGAGAUCGGGAAGGAACACCAGUGGCGAAGGCGGC
rnacentral:rRNA from 1 species